rnacentral:rRNA from 1 species
UUAAGCACUCCGCCUGGGGAGUACGACCGCAAGGUUGAAACUCAAAGGAAUUGACGGGGGCCCGCACAAGCGGUGGAGCAUGUGGUUUAAUUCGAAGCAACGCGAAGAACCUUACCAGGUCUUGACAUCCUUUGACCACUCUAGAGAUAGAGCUUUCCCUUCGGGGACAAAGUGACAGGUGGUGCAUGGUUGUCGUCAGCUCGUGUCGUGAGAUGUUGGGUUAAGUCCCGCAACGAGCGCAACCCUUAUUGUUAGUUGCCAUCAUUUAGUUGGGCACUCUAGCGAGACUGCCGGUGACAAACCGGAGGAAGGUGGGGAUGACGUCAAAUCAUCAUGCCCCUUAUGACCUGGGCUACACACGUGCUACAAUGGGAAGUACAACGAGUCGCUAGACCGCGAGGUCAUGCAAAUCUCUUAAAGCUUCUCUCAGUUCGGAUUGCAGGCUGCAACUCGCCUGCAUGAAGCCGGAAUCGCUAGUAAUCGCGGAUCAGCACGCCGCGGUGAAUACGUUCCCGGGCCUUGUACACACCGCCCGUCACACCACGAGAGUUUGUAACACCCGAAGUCGGUGAGGUAACCUUUUUGGAGCCAGCCGCCUAAGGUGGGAUAGAUGAUUGGGGUGAAGUCGUAACAAGGUAGCCGUAUCGGAAGGUGCGGCUGGAUCACCUCCUUUCUAAGGAA